UCUCCUCGACUCCUCGAGUAGCACACCGGAGCAAGUCGGCUCGACUCAGUCCGUCAGUCCUGUGUUGGUACUGUGCCCAGCAGCACGACCGCCAAACUAGCCGUAGUCGUCGGGCUCCAUAGAUAGAUAGUUGAGUUGUCGGUCUCUCGUUGUCGUUUUCGGCCGCCGCGCACCGCUUUGCCGAAAACACGUGCUUCACGCGCCGUUUUUUACUCGUAGUGGGUAGUUCCGAGUGGUCAGCACCAACGUCGUCGUCCAGCAUCCCGCACCGGCCGGCACGCUCCUCCGACCCAAGUCUCAGCAGCAGUCGCCACCGCAGCCGCCGCCGCUGACUCGUCCGUCACAGUCUCACCAGCACCAACACACUCACACACACUCCGCAGUACACGAACCUCCGGCGCGCGCUUCGUCCGACCAAGACACCGCUCGCUCGCUCCACCGCCAGACCGUCUCUGCUCUCGCUCUGUCCGUCGACCAGUUGGCUUCAAAGUUUUCCAUAAUUGCUACACCAGAGGAACUUUUUUACUUGUUAGUGAUGGAGGCACAAUCUCAAGAUAGUGUCGCUGCGGGCUCCCCUGCCGAAGUCCCCAACGACCCAGGGAAGAUGUUUAUCGGGGGUCUCAGCUGGCAGACUAGUCCAGAGAGCCUGCGAGAGUACUUCAGCAAAUACGGCGAAAUCACCGAAGUGAUGGUUAUGAAAGACCCCACGACGCGCCGCUCUAGGGGUUUUGGAUUUCUAACCUUCGCCGACCCAUCUAGCGUAGACAAGGUCUUAGCUCAAGGCACACACGAGUUGGACGGAAAGAAGAUCGACCCCAAAGUUGCAUUUCCCCGAAGAGCACACCCAAAGAUGGUGACGCGAACGAAGAAAAUAUUUGUAGGAGGACUGUCGGCCCCGACGACGUUAGAAGACGUUAAAAAUUACUUUGAGCAGUUUGGGCCGAUCGAGGACGCGAUGCUGAUGUUCGAUAAGCAGACCAACAGGCAUAGAGGUUUCGGUUUUGUCACUUUCCAGAGUGAAGACGUAGUCGAUAAAGUCUGUGAAAUUCACUUCCAUGAAAUCAACAAUAAAAUGGUGGAGUGUAAGAAAGCACAACCAAAAGAAGUCAUGCUCCCGGCGAACCUGGCCAAAACGAGGGCCGCCGGCCGCGGCGCUUACGAUUUCAUGUGGCCAAUAGGUGCUCUGCCUGAUGAAACCGCAGGUUUCCCAGCCGCAUUUGCAGCCUACUCCGCGGGUCGAGGUUACUCUGGUUAUGCGAGUUUUGGGCUACCCUACCCCACAGUGACGUUGACAGCCUCCAACUCAACCACAGCGGGUCACCACCACCACCACCAUCACCAACACCAACACCAGCAGCCACUACAACUCGCUGUUAAACAGGUUGAUAUCACCAAUGGCCAGCUCACGCCUAACAACAACACCCCGCUUCUUACGCAGGCGUUAUCAGUGAUGAAUAACUACCCACAAGGCUUUGGACCGCCGGCCUCUCCGGCCAACAGCCGCGGAUUCCCGCCGGCUAACUCGCCGGGACCGAUCGACAUGUACAGUGGAAGCACGGACAGCGUAGGCUACGUGCAAGCCGCCAGCCCGCAGCCCAACAGCUUUCAAGCCAUCGCGGUGAGUCGCGCGCCCGUCAGCUACAACCCACAAUACUUCAAUGUCUACAGGGUCCAUUGAUUCCAGCAGCUUUCACAAAUGGGUACCAUUGAGAAGAUUUUUUGGGAGUAACUUAUUUGUCAGAUUCAAAAUAUCACAUAAACAAAAAGAUUUGUGUGGACACAAAAUCUCAGGUUGCUAAUUUGAAUGGUAAAAUGAGAUAAUGAUCUACUCCUGCUCGUAUGUUAUUUUCACGAUUCACUCACACAAGAAAACACACAUGAAUUAUAUUCACGCAUACACUGACACACUCUAUGUGACACACUAACACACUCUCACUCACUGUGCGUUGAGACGGACUUGUUUUUGCUACGAAAAUACCCCGUAAACACGCCCACACACAUACACACGAUCUGCAUUGAGACGGUGGCCCUUCCUCAUCAAGAAACACCUUUCGGAUGACUUCGAUUUCACCAGAUCGGAGCAUUCGUCUCUCGAAUUAACAAGCGAUUCUUCCUGUCAAGCUUUGGAUCAAGUUGCGCAGCGGGAAAGAAAUCGAGCAGGGCACUCUCAACCGAUGCCAAUUAUUAGUGAAAGCAGGGAGAGCAAGAGAGGAUAAUAUUGUGAUUUUUGAGGAGACCUAACCCCCGCGUGUCUGUCCGCCACUUUCUCUCUCUCAGAUGAUAUCAAUUCCUCUCCGUUUCGACUCGAGCGUAUAAUUCGCACCCUCUCUCAAAUCAUGUAUUUUUUGAAUUCCAGUGAAAUUCAUGCCAUCAGUGUUCUGCGCAAAAAGAAUCCCAAAAUAGUUGAAAUUUUAGGACGAGAAAAGAAAAAUAUGAAAAAUGGUAUUUAAAUCGUCGACGAGAUCGAAAAGUUAUUUUCAUAUCUGUACAUUUUGAUUUUAUUGUGGAGUACGUAUCAUUAUUUUUCUUGUUUGUUUUGUUGAUCACACACGUAAUGUUAUUAUAUAUAAUGCAAACUAUAUAUAUACAUAUUAUACUUUCUAGUACGUUAAGGAUUGUCUUUAAGUGGACUGCGACCCUGAACCGGAUUUAUUUCUAACUUUGAUCGGUACUGCUACCAAAUAAAAAGUAGUUUGUUAGGUCUUUGUGCCUAUUACACGAAAAAUAAUGCGAGAUCGAAGAAAAAAGUCACAUUCACACCCUCACACGAGAAUUAAUACUUCACACACAGACACACACACAUACACGAAACGCGGUUAACUUUCAAAAAGUGAUCAAUAACUUGUAAGUGUAAUUAUUAUAAAAUAAAAAUUAAUGUAUUUAUGGGGAUGAAUAAGAGAAUACACACACACACACACUAAAGAAACAAAACAGCAUAAUGCGCGCAUUGUCGUUGUAAUGUACAACUUUAACUAAUCUAGUACGUUAUGUCAAAUGUGCGACGAAAAUCGGGGUUUGAAGGGAAAAAUCCACACACAUACACACACUCACUCACUCACGUGCGCAAAAAGUUAAUUCAAUUGGGUGCCUGCUAUAUAAUUGUACGCUAGUGUUUCGCGGAUGUGUUGUUACUGGGCAUCUUUGAAAUCAAUUGUAAAACACGUCACGAAAAUUGAAGUAGUGAUCGGGCAGCUAGAGCCACGAAAAUAUUCGUUUAUUCGAUCGCGUUGCCACUACUCCUGGCAUCUAAAAAAUGCAAGCAACUUAUCCCCCCAGAAAUAGAAAGAAAGAAAGCAAGAAACUAAGUGUAAGCAGCAGUGUACAUAACGCUAAGUGUGGAGAGGGUCUUAAAGUGUGUUCCGUUGUCAGUUUUGCCAGCCUGCCCACCCCCCGUUGAUUGUCAGGCGCGGGCGAAAACCGAAAAAUUAUUAUAAAUAAGCAAGCAAUUGUAAGAUUAGUGUUAAGUGUUGCGUAGUUAAGGCAAAAGAAUUAUCGCCACGAUAUACUAAUUUGUAAGGUUGUUUCCAGGACGUGUAUAUCUUUGCUGAGAAGAGAGGCGUUAUUAAGUUCCUUAUUGAUUGUGUCCUUGACUCGAAAACAAAGCAUACACAAAAGGGAAACUGAAAUACAAGAGUGCAAUUCAGUCGUAUGAUAUUUCGUGCACAAUUUUUGCGUUCGUUGUCCUUUUGAGGCCAAAAAGCAAAGUUUCAUCCACUUUUGCCACCAGCAUCACAGAAACACACUUGAACACGACACACACACACGUACACACAUUUAAUUUUUUAUACGAGACGUUUUGCUAUACACACACACUGACAAUAUGUUGUUAAGAUUAAAAAGAAAAAUCGAAGAUUUCUAGGAUUUCGUGCGAGCGAAUUAGAGCAAUAGUGGAAAUUUGAGCAAAAAGGCGCAAUUUCAAAGUCGAUUAGUUAGACACGAUGUUGGUACACGUUGUUGAAUUUGCGAAAAAAGAAUCAGGGACUAAAUACUUUUUCACUAUAUGUGUGCGCGAUUGUUUUUAACUCUCGAGGUUUCUCCACUUCUGUUGAGUUUUUUGUUGUUGUAACUCAUGAAAUUAUUGGUUGGAGGAAAUUUUCAUCUGUAACGACUGAUAUAAAAGCAAUAAUAAUGUGUGGAGUAAAAAAUCUAAGAGGAAACACUAUCGUUAUUACACUUUUUAAAUAAAUGAAAAUGACUAAAAUUAAUAUUUAUAAAAAACGUGAGAAGAUAUUGGGAAAUCGAAUCUUUUUCAACGUUUCCCUCUUAGCUGUGUAAAACUAUUCACAAACACUCACACACAAACACACACACUACACACAACUGUUUUUGAAAAGCGAGCGUGCGUAUGAGGAAAAUCAAUCCUUCAUUAAUUAAGAGAUCAGUCGGUUAAAUUAGACAAGUGUGAGUGUGGCCGUCAUAUGAAUAUAGAGUUAACGCAUCGUUGUGUAUUAUUGUAAAUAAUUGUAACGAUAAACUGACGUUGAAACACUACUUGUAAGCAUAGUAAGAACACACAUUAUUAUUAAAAUUGAAUCAUGAUAAUUUAUAUACAACCACUUGAUCUGUAUUUUCGUGUCGCAUGAUUGGCAAACAAGAAACGGAAGCAAAUACAGCAACACACACACACGUACGUCUUACUAGCACAGAAAUUUCUCGCCGAUUGCACUCGGCAAUUUGCAAUUGUACUCCACGUAAUAGCAGCUAGAGCAUCACACACACACUCACACACAGGAAAGCAGCCAUAAUUAAGCAUAAUUACAUUGUUAAGAUACGCAAAACGCCAGCGAACAGGACUCGUCGUUGCAAUAAAUUCCACAAACACGAAAAAUCGCGGAUGUUCUUUGACGCUUUUUAAUAUGAAGUUUUUUACUAUCCACUCACACACAUUACAAACUCACACAAGUCAAUGAUCUCUCGAAUGAUGAAUAUUUAGGAAUGAGAAUGUUUAUUUAUAGUUGCGAUUUGCGUUAAAUUAUUUUUUUGCAUCAUCAAGUCAAUUUAGCCGAAAUACAAUCUAAACUGCAAAUCAGGCUGAUUUAUUUUUUCUAUUAAGUCCUAUGAGUAAACCAAAAAUCUAGAUUACUGUAUACUCUCGGAAUAUGAUUAGUUGAAAAGUAUAGCAAUUUUAAGGUUGUAACGCCCAUGAAUUUUAAAACACUAGCUGAAUAUAAUUACACACUAGGAGCACAGUGCGCAGUUCAGGAUCAGAGAAAGAAACACGCAGUUUUACAACCUUGAAAUGAAGAGUAUUUAGUUGGAGAUUUUUAACUUGUAUAUUUUUGGCUAAAACUUCAUGACCGUACGUUCUUUGUAUAACGAUUAAUGGAUAUGGAAAGUCUGAUACAUGCAAAGACUUGAAAGUUUUACACCCCCACCUCCCCUCCCUCCUGGAAAAUAACACAAGGGAUAAUAAUACAUAUAAUAACUAAUUGUGUACACAGUCGAGUUGAGCAUCCAUCCUGAUUUCCCAUAACUAGUUUGACACAUACAUAUCGUCGUGGAAUGAGUUGAUCUUGCGUUUCCUGAUUCUCUUUUUAUUUUUAUUUUUACUUUCUUUCUUUUUUUCCCCUUCGUCAGACGAAAUGCAUUAGCGGAAUUACAUACACUAUAUAUCCAUGGAGAAGAUCUCCCUCUCUCUGUCUGUUCAUUACACAUAUUGCCAAUGAAUGAAAAAACCCACACACUCGCGUAACAAAAAGGAAUAAUACGCAAAGAUAAGCUGUUUGUGUCGCAACAGAGGUUACCGCAGAGGAAGGAAAAGGCGCCGGAAAGCAAAUUAGAGCAUAAACACUCACCCCCGCAAACGGUUAAAUCUAUUGCACAAAUCUCUCACUGUGUAAUCUCUCUGUCGUUCGAAGCUGUAAAUAGGUAUAAAACUCACCGUUUCACAAAAGCUCAUCUCUCGUCUUUGAAAAUGAAUUGUGCGCGUGUGCUGAUGAAUCUAUAAUCUAUUUUGAGACGCUGGAAAUUCACGUCGCAUGUGCAUAUAAAGAGUAAGAUUUCAAUAAAUUCAGUUCUCGAGUUUGAUAGGAUUUAGCGCGACUAUCAAGGCUAAAUGAGAAUUGCUGCAAAAACGUUCAGUUUCACGAUAUUUUUUGGUGCCUUCCCCUUUUGAAAAGUGUAAAUUUGCUAAAUUUAAAGCAGACGAAAAAGAAAGAGACCACUGCAGAAAGAAAAGACUUUUCUUACAACCGACGGAACUUAACAAGUAUAACAUGUAACUCGACUCUGCUGAUUGACGAUGGCACAAGGGCAAUCAAUGUUUCAAUCUCAGACACUUUACCCCUCUAUGCGUUUCCUCUCUGUCCUCUCUUCCUUUAUUCUCUCGGCUCGUUUCUUAAUUUGAGUGCAGUCAACUAGGGAGAUUUAAUGACAAAGCAUGCAGGCUGCUAAAUGCCACUGGACUAUGUGAUACAUGUAUAAAAUACUGCAUACACACACACUAGCAUUUGGCGUAGAAAUAACAACACCCACGUCGACUUGGAGCCAAUGUAGCAAAACACACGACUAAUUCGAUAAAACAAAGGAGCGAGCCGGCGGCGCCAGAAACCGCGAAAGACUUUUCCCGUUGCGUUCGAAACACCAAAUUAGUGAGAUCAGCGGUUUUUGGUCGUGAUUUCCACCCUCGGUCGCCCUGAUUGGCCUGAUUCAUUUUCCUGGUGAGAGCAUUUCGAAAUAAUAUUUAAAAAAAAAAAGAUUAAAAUUAAACCCCGUUCUUCGUUUUGAGUUCCGAGUGCUGCUAAUCAAUAAUAAAACGCAAGAGAAUAUUGCUCACAGGGUUUCUAUAUGAAUAAAACACCCUCACCUUGAUAUCUACAAAUUCAGGAACACUUUGAAAAUCCAACUCACACUCACUAACACACACCUAAUCACUAACCGCGAGGAAAGAAAUAAUAAUAUUUUGCAAUAUAAAUAUUAAAAGAGUAAGCUCGAGGUCUGACUAUUGUUGUAAUAUGAGAGCAAUGAUUUCUAAUUCAAAAACCGUGCGCGCGCGAUGGAGGUAAACCCGAAUUGCUAACUAAAGAAUAUUAAAUAAAAUCAUAUCAACAUAUCACGCAUCAAUUACGACGGCGAAGAAAUGGAAAAAAACAAACGCGAUAUACUCUCUUUCCUCUCCCCCUCUCGAACCCCCUGGAAUUAAAUUUCUGAGUUCGAUUCUCUCAUCUCGUAAAGCUCGGUUUAUCCAAUAACCCUCUGAUUUGAACCACACACACACACACACACGUAACGAAAAAAGGCAGUGUCAUAAUUUAAAAGUAAAAACACACACUCUAACCCGAGAACUCAUCAAAUUUCCUAUUCUGAUUACACUUCAUUGGACUGACAUAGGAGAUUUUAUGAUUACGAGUAAACGGAAAAACCAUUGAUUUGUAAAAUGGCACUUUUUAAAAGACUGUGUAAAUAAAAUAUAAAUUAUUUAAAUAAUAUAUUGUAAGAUAACCUAGCUUCAAAAAGGUAAUUAGUUAAAAUCCGCAGAAAAAGAAAAUCCACACACAAUAUACGUAUUGCAACAACAGACGAAACAUAGCCAAUAACACGAUCGUGUCAAUCUAAUUUAGCUGCAGUAUAUUUUUUUAGUUUUCUUCCAGACCCCGCCUUCUCCAGUCCUAAACUCCUCAACCUAUAUAAUAACACACAAGUCCCCAGCGGACUUGCAAUUCGUGAAUUGAAACGAAAAGCGCUUUUCCCAACCCUGAGAGUAAAAUAAUAAUGCAGCCUUAAGAUAAUUAAACAGAUGAACUUAAUAGAGCUCUGAUUCAGCCAGAAUUUAAAGCAAAAGCCAGUCGCAUUUUUUGUGGAACCCUCAAUUUCGAAUAAAUUUAUUUUUUUCGCUCGGUUUCGUAUUCUGACUUUUUUGCGAGAUCUCCUAAACGAAAACUCAACUAACGUUUCAAAGUGAAGAGUAAAAAUAUGAAAAGUCCCCCUCCUCGGGCCACGCAGGUGAAUCCGGCGGCGAGAGGAGUUACUGCCCAAAGAGUAUGAUAAACAAAUUAAGAGAAAUCGUAUGUUUCGCUAACACACACACACCCUGACACGGAGAAAUCAACUCUUGUAAAAAGAAAUACCAAAAUAGUGAAUUUACACGCAGGAACUUAACGGUACAGAUUUGAAGAUGAAAACCCGUAUUUAUUGUGUAUGCAAUAAUUAAGGAAUAGCAAUAAGCGAUAAUAAUAAUAGAGAGUCAAAAAUGAGAAUCGUGAACGAUGAUUAUUAUUGUACUACAAACUAUAUAUGUGGCGAAAUGAUGAUGAUGAUGAUGAUGAUGAGAAUAAUUGAUUAAUUAUUAUUACUACAAAGAUUUAAUAUUGUAACUGAUGAUAUGAUAUUUUCAAAUUUUUCUUACUAUGCAAACUGAUGAGUAAACAGCUAGCGUUAUUCGUGACCGUCUCCUUUUUUGAUUUGUCCGCGGUUUUUGUGGAACGUACGUGCAACUUGAUUAUCUACGACUAACUGUAGGAUUUUUACAUGUUCGCAUUGUUUAUAUAAUACUUAAAUACACGACAUUCACACACAAACACGACAAAAAACAAACACACACACCUAUGCAUAACGAAGAAGAGAAGAAGGAGCGUGUGGCGACGCAGAAUUUAGUAGGAAAGAAAGGGUGAUCAAAAUCUCAGAAUACAAAGAAAACUCGCAAAGAAAGUGAGGCUAUUGUUGUUCAGUGAUUGCGGUAUCGAUGAAGCAUCUCCAUAAUUAAGGUCUAAAGUAAAUUACAACUCAGUCAGAUAUACAAAUAGAGAAAACUCUUUUUUACACACACGCUCUUUAUGUAAAAAUUUUCGAUAAAAACCGGUAAUUUCAAAGUUACUAAGCGAAUAUCUCACUUAAUGAGAAAAUACAUAUAGCAGUUGUUUCGCGGAAAAAAAUUGAUCAUACCACACACACACACACAUUUCGCCCGAAUUUGAUUGAGAACACGAAAAGGCCUCUAGCAAUUUUGACCAUCGACCCAGUCCUCGUUGAUUAUUUCUCAAAGCUUUUAUCAUCCCCUUAAUAUUUAAGGAAGCUAACUGUUACAUUGUUGUUGCCGCCUCCGAACCGCGGGGGUGUCCCCUUUGCGUUUUCCUCUCCGAGUCUAAGGUUAAGAACACUCUACGAAAGGAAAAAGAUUGAGAAAAGUUUUUCUGUGUGCUGUUAUGUGUAUGUAAAUACAUAGUUAAAUUGAUGACGAAAAUCCAAGACAACAAAAAACAGAUGUUGUACCAAAAAAGAUGCAAGAAGUGGAAGUAUAGCAAAAUUUACUCUACCACACCCGUGUAAAUGAUAAUAAUUAUAUAGUUCUUAAAAUGCAAUUAUUAAGAUUAUUAUUAAAAAUGAAACAACUUGCUUACGAAAAAUUGCAAAAAAAAAUAUGAAGAAAUUGAAAGUGAUGCUAUGUAUGAAUGCAUGUAUGGAAUAAUAAUAUUAAAUAAAUAAAUACAACUCUGUGGACAUUGUUCGAUAA